GACGAACGCUGGCGGCGUGCUUAACACAUGCAAGUCGAACGGACAGACAGAGAGCUUGCUCUCUUGAAGUUAGUGGCGAACGGGUGAGUAACGCGUAAUCAACCUGCCCUUCAGAGGGGGAUAACAACGGGAAACCGUUGCUAAUACCGCGUACGAUUCAUGAACGGCAUCGUUUAUGAAUGAAAGGUGGCCUCUAUGUAUAAGCUAUCGCUGAAGGAGGGGAUUGCGUCUGAUUAGCUAGUUGGAGGGGUAACGGCCCACCAAGGCAAUGAUCAGUAGCCGGUCUGAGAGGAUGAACGGCCACAUUGGGACUGAGACACGGCCCAAACUUCUACGGGAGGCAGCAGUGGGGAAUCUUCCGCAAUGGACGAAAGUCUGACGGAGCAACGCUGCGUGAGUGAUGAAGGUCUUCGGAUUGUAAAGCUCUGUUAAUCGGGACGAAAGAGUUCUGCGUGAAUAAUGCAGAAAAGUGACGGUACCGGAAUAGAAAGCCACGGCUAACUACGUGCCAGCCGCCGCGGUAA
rnacentral:rRNA from 1 species